rnacentral:lncRNA from 1 species
CGCGUCGUCGAGGACGUCGCGGAGCGGGAGGCGCGCUGAGCCGACGAGCGGCUUGACCCCCUCGGCGGCGUUGGCGUGGACGACGUCGAGGUAGAGGACGGCGUCGUCGAGGCGGGAGGAGGGCGGGAGCGGGACGAGGAGCUUCUCGUCCCAGGAGGGGCUCUCGCCGUUGUCGAGGUCGACGCGGGUGGAGCACUUGGCGCCGGAGUCGACCCAGACGACGGCGUACGGCUUGAGGUCGCCGUUGCGCCAGUUGACGUUCUUGAGGUCCCGGGCCGAACCGACGGUCACCUCCACCUCGUAGCGGGACCCCAUCGCCUCUCCGGCCGGCGGUGGCAGGAAGGGCAGACGGAGGGGAAGCUUGUGCCUUUUGCUUUGCUAGAUUAGCGAC